GAUGAAGAACGUAGCGAAAUGCGAUAAGUAAUGUGAAUUGCAGAAUUCAGUGAAUCAUCGAAUCUUUGAACGCACAUUGCGCCCGCCAGUAUUCUGGCGGGCAUGCCUGUUCGAGCGUCAUUUCAACCAUCAAGCCCUGCUUGCGUUGGGGUCCUGCGGCUGCCCGCAGGCCCUGAAAACCAGUGGCGGGCUCGCUAGUCACACCGAGCGCAGUAAUACAUCUCGCUUUGGGCGUGCGGCGGGUUCUUGCCGUUAAACACCCCCUUUUUACCAAGGUUGCCCUCGGAUCAGGUAGGAAUACCCGCUGAACUUAAGAAUAUCAAUAAGCGGAGGA
rnacentral:misc_RNA from 1 species